rnacentral:rRNA from 1 species
CCUACGGGAGGCAGCAGUGGGGAAUAUUGCACAAUGGGCGAACGCCUGAUGCAGCAACGCCGCGUGAAGGAAGACGGUUUUCGGAUUGUAAACUUCUGUUCUUAGUGAAGAAUAAUGACGGUAACUAAGGAGCAAGCAACGGCUAACUACGUGCCAGCAGCCGCGGUAAUACGUAGGUGGCAAGCGUUGUCCGGAAUUACUGGGGGUAAAGGGGGGGUAGGCGGGAAGCCAAGUCAGCUGUGAAAACUACGGGAUUAACCUGUAGACUGCAGUUGAAACUGGCUUUCUUGAGUGAAGUAGAGGUUGGCGGAAUUCCUGGUGUAGCGGUGAAAUGCGUAGAUAUUAGGAGGAACACCAGUGGCGAAGGCGGCGUACUGGACUGUAACUGACGUUGAGGCUCGAAAGCGUGGGGAGCAAACAGGAUUAGAUACCCCUGUAGUC